rnacentral:rRNA from 1 species
AACGUAGGACGCAAGCGUUAUCCGGAGUUACUGGGCGUAAAGCGAGGGCAGGCGGCCUGCCAAGUGGGGUGUGAAAGCUCCCAGCUUAACUGGGAGAGGCCAUUCCAAACUGACAGGCUGGAGGGCAGUAGAGGUAGGCGGAAUUCCGGGUGGAGUGGUGAAAUGCGUAGAGAUCCGGAGGAACACCAGAGGCGAAGGCGGCCUACUGGGCUGCACCUGACGCUGAGCCGCGAAAGCCAGGGGAGCGAACGGG